rnacentral:lncRNA from 10 species
AGACCAAGGGCCAGUGUGACUGUGAAGCAGCAUCAUGAGAGGGGUAAAACCAAGGAACAGACUGCAUGAGCCCUUGGGCCCCUUCCAGCUCUAAUACUCCAUGGUGAUGGCAGCCCUGCCCUUCUCUGAAGAUCUCAAAAUGCCUGACACCUGUGUCCUUCCGCACUGCCCUGGGAAGGAGAAUAAGGAUGUCUUGAUAAACUGCUUGAUGCUGGUCUCUAUACUGGAGAAGUGACUGAAAUUGUAGGAGGCCCAGGUAGCGGCAAAACUCAGGCAGAAGCUCUCCGGAGGAUCCAGGUGGUGCAUGCAUUUGACAUCUUCCAGAUGCUGGAUGUGCUGCAGGAGCUCCGAGGCACUGUGGCCCAGCAGGUGAGCCUGCUGUUCUGCCCCUCCUUGCUUAAUUCAGCUUUCUAGGUGCUAUCUCUGUGGGCAGGUGUCCUACUACAGACUGUUUGGAAAUGCAGAUGUGCAAUCUGGUGACUCCAACUAUGCUUGCUACUCCCAGGAUGGAAUUCCCGAGCACCUAAAUCACAUACCUCAUUGUUUACAUGUUCAUCUUCCCUGCUGAACAGUAAAGCCCCCUGAGUGGAAGGAUCAUGUCAUAUUUAUGUCUGCAUUCCCCACUAGUUUCUAGGGGUUAAGAAUCUGAGACUAGGAGCGGUGGCUCACGCCUAAAAUCCCA